rnacentral:rRNA from 1 species
AGACUUUGAUCCUGGCUCAGGAUGAACGCUGGCGGCGUGCUUAACACAUGCAAGUCGAGCGGAGAUAUAGGAAGGAAUCCCUUCGGGGAGGAAUUCCCUUAUCUUAGCGGCGGACGGGCGCGUAACACGUGGGUAACCUGCCCUUAUCACCGGGAUAACACACUGAAAAGUGUGCUAAUACCGGAUAACAUCACUUUAUGGCAUCAUAAAAUGAUCAAAGUGUUAGCGGAUAAGGAUGGGCCCGCGUCUGAUUAGCUAGUUGGUAGGGUAACGGCCUACCAAGGCGACGAUCAGUAGCCGACCUGAGAGGGUGAUCGGCCACACUGGAACUGAGACACGGUCCAGACUCCUACGGGAGGCAGCAGUGGGGAAUAUUGCACAAUGGGCGAAAGCCUGAUGCAGCAACGCCGCGUGAGCGAUGAAGGCCUUCGGGUCGUAAAGCUCUGUCCUAUGGGAAGAUAAUGACGGUACCAUAGGAGGAAGCCCCGGCGUAA